rnacentral:rRNA from 1 species
AUGGACAAUGUGUUCCCUGGAGUAGAGCAUAGGGAAUGCAUGCGUCACCUUGCUGCAAAUUUCAUGAAGAAAUUCAAAGGAAAGGUGUAUACCGACAAUUUAUGGCCAGCAUCUUUGACAUGUAGUGUGAAGAAGCACAACUACCACUUGAGGCAGUUAUACAUGAUUCCCAAAGUGAAAGAAUACUUGGAAACACACCACUCCAAGUUAUGGGCCAGAAGCCAAUUCAGUGAAGUGAGCAAAGUUGACUAUGUGCACAAUAAUCUAGCAGAGUCUUUCAACUCAACGAUCCGGAAA